rnacentral:rRNA from 1 species
AUGGCGGAUCACCAGAGGCAGAGGAUCCACCCGGUGGACCUGGAGGCGGGCCAGCCGAGGCCCUCGGCGCCGCUGGUGCCGCCGGGGAGCUCGUUCCGGUCCGACAAGGGCGACCCUGCCGCGGCCCCGGACAGGAGGCCGCCGCACCACCAGCCGCUGCCCCCGCCGAAGCGGCGCAGGGGCUGCUGCUGCCGCUUCAUCUGCUGCGUCCUGGUGACCGUCAUCCUGCUCGCCGUCCUCGCCGCGGUGGCCCUGGGCGCGCUCUACCUGGUGUUCCAGCCCAAGGCGCCCCACUACUCGGUGGACCGGCUGUCGGUGUCGCAGUUCCAGGUGGACCCGACCCUCACGGCGAGCGCGCGGUUCGACGUCACGGUGACGGCGGCGAACCCCAACAGCCGCAUCGGCAUCUUCUACGAGCGCGGGUCCAGCCUGAGCGUGUGGUACGACACCCACCGGCUCGCCCAGGGCGCGCUCCCGGCCUUCUACCAGGGCCGCCGCAACACGACGGUGCUGGGCGUGGUAAUGGCCGGGCAGGCGCAGCUGGGCAGCGCGGUGGUGGCGGCGCUGCGCGACGAGCAGCAGACGGGCGCCGUGCCGCUGGUGUUCCGCGCCGACGUGCCCGUGCGGGUGGAGCUCGGCAGCCUCAAGCUGUGGACGGUCACGUCCAGGGUGCGCUGCGACCUCGUCGUCGACAGCCUCCUCAACGCCAGCAGCCAGAUCAAGAUCAAGGCCAGCAACUGCAAGUUCAGCUUGAAGCUGUGA